CCUACGGGGGGCUGCAGUGGGGAAUCUUGCGCAAUGGGGGAAACCCUGACGCAGCGACGCCGCGUGGGCGACGAAGGCCUUCGGGUUGUAAAGCCCUGUGGGGCGGGACGAAAACGGAGGGAGGAAAUGCCUUUCGCUUGACGGUACCGCCUUAGCAAGCACCGGCUAACUCUGUGCCAGCAGCCGCGGUAAUACAGAGGGUGCAAACGUUGCUCGGAAUUACUGGGCGUAAAGCGCGUGUAGGCGGUCUCGUAAGUUCGAUGUGAAAGCCCAGA
rnacentral:rRNA from 1 species